rnacentral:rRNA from 1 species
AGAGCGAACGCUGGCGGCGUGCUUAACACAUGCAAGUCGAACGCGCAGCAUUCUGUAGCAAUACAGGGUGUGGGCGCGUGGCGAACGGGUGCGUAACACGUGGAUAACCUUCCUUGAGGUGGGGAAUAACCCAGUGAAAAUUGGGCUAAUACCGCAUAACAUCGCGAUGGCACAUGCUGAUGCGAUCAAAGGCGCAAGUCGCCACAAGAGGGAUCCGCGGCCGAUUAGCUUGUUGGCGAGGUAAUGGCUCACCAAGGCAAUGAUCGGUAGCCGGACUGAGAGGUUGGCCGGCCACACUGGAACUGAGACACGGUCCAGACUCCUACGGGAGGCAGCAGUGGGGAAUCUUGCACAAUGGACGAAAGUCUGAUGCAGCAACGCCGCGUGGGGGAUGAAGCUUCUCGGAGUGUAAACCCUUUCGACCCGGAAGAAUGCCCGCAAGGGUAUGACGGUACGGGUAUAAGAACGCCCCGGCUAACUACGCGCCACG